rnacentral:rRNA from 1 species
CCUACGGGUGGCAGCAGUGGGGAAUAUUGCGCAAUGGGCGAAAGCCUGACGCAGCGACGCCGCGUGAGGGAUGAAGGUCUUCGGAUCGUAAACCGCUGUCAGCAGGGAAGAAAGGUCACUGUGCUAAGCAGCAGUGAAUUGACGGUACCUGCAAAGGAAGCACCGGCUACCUCCGUGCCAGCAGCCGCGGUAAUACGGAGGGUGCGAGCGUUAAUCGGAAUGACUGGGCGUAAAGCGCUCGUCGGCGGUAUGUCCAGUCAAGGGUGAAAUCCCCGCGCUCACCGUGGGAACUGCCUUUGAAACUUGCAACCUGGAGUUUGUGAGAGGCUAGUGGUAUUCCAGGUGU